rnacentral:lncRNA from 4 species
AUGCCAACAGUAUGUACAUUUGCAAAAAGUAGAACCAACAAUUUGGACGACUACUCUAUCUUCCAGGCGGCGCUGGCGGUUGCGGACGGUGACGGCGCGGCCCUCGGCGAGGACGUGGGGGAGGUAGGCGUUCUCGACAAGUGCGUGGUGGCGGUGGUGGAAGGUGGCGCCGCGGAAGUCGUCGGCGACAACCUC